AUUGAUCUGAAUCAGCUGGAAUGAUCUUAAUAGACACAAUUAGAGUCUGAUUCCAAGGCACAACUCAAAAGAUGGUAAAUGUAAAAUAAUAAUAGACCUAACCUUGGCGGCUGAACUCGGUAUAGAAGACCAGGCUCUGAGCAUCCCAUGUCCACCCUUUUGAUCUUAUUAUUGUGACACAGAAGGAGAGGAAAGCCCUGCUGCUCGGGAAAACAGAUCAUGGAUGGAAAGAAAAAGAACAUUUGCAAUAUACCUACAGACAGUGGUUACAACAUACAUCCAAACAACCAGUCACAGAAUUGCUGGGAGUGGAAAGAAGAGACCAAAAUUAGCUUUUUAAUCAGAAUGCCACUAGCUCUGUGCCUAAAAAUUAUAAUAGAGCAUAAACUCCAUCCUUUAUGCAUCAGAAUAGACUAAGAUAUGUCCUACUCUCUUUUGUUUUACAUUUGCUUCUAUAUAAAGCAUUCUUACUGCAAAGACAUUCAGUAAGAAAAUAGGGACCUCAGUAUUACAAUGGGAAGAAAAUAAAUUCUAUGGGAUUAUAUAAAAAUAAAAAGCUUCUGCAUAGCAAAAGAAACCAUCAACAAAACAACAAGAAAGCCUACUGCAUGAGAGAAUAUUAUCACCAAUAAGAAUUUAAUCUCCAACAUUUACAGGGAACUCAUACAACUUAACAAAAGGAAGGCAAACAACCCAAUUUAAAAAAUUAGCAA